rnacentral:snRNA from 1 species
AGCUUUGCGCAGUGGCAGUAUCAUAGCCAAUGAGGUUUAUCCAAGGUGUGAUUAUUGCUAAUUGAAAACUUUCCCCCAAAUCACUACCCCUGGCAAAGUGCCAUGUGAUUAGGCACUAGCUCUCAGCU